rnacentral:rRNA from 1 species
UACGUAGGGUCCGAGCGUUGUCCGGAUUCAUUGGGCGUAAAGAGCUCGUAGGCGGCUCAGUAAGUCGGAUGUGAAAACUCAGGGCUCAACCCGGAGACGCCAUCCGAUACUGCUGUGGCUUGAGUCUGGUAGGGGAACACGGAAUACCUGGUGUAGCGGUGAAAUGCGCAGAUAUCAGGUGGAACACCGAUGGCGAAGGCAGUGUUCUGGGCCAGUACUGACGCUGAGGAGCGAAAGCGUGGGGAGCAAACAGGA